rnacentral:ncRNA from 1 species
GACGCAAGGAAACACGUCGCCCACGCGGGCACCAAGGUGACGUGCGGAGCCAGUGGUGCGACCGGC